rnacentral:rRNA from 1 species
AUUGAACGCUGGCGGCAGGCCUAACACAUGCAAGUCGAGCGGAGCGGCGGACGGGUGAGUAAUGCCUAGGAAUCUGCCUGUUCGUGGGGGAUAACGUCCGGAAACGGGCGCUAAUACCGCAUACUAUCAGAUGAGCCUAGGUCGGAUUAGCUUGUAGGUGAGGUAACGGCUCACCUAGGCGACGAUCCCUAGCUGGGCUGAGAGGAUGACCAGCCACACUGGAACUGAGACACGGUCCAGACUCCUACGGGAGGCAGCAGUGGGGAAUAUUGCACAAUGGGCGCAAGCCUGAUGCAGCCAUGCCGCGUGUAUGAAGAAGGCCUUCGGGUUGUAAAGCACUUUUGUUGGGAAAGCGGUACCCAAAGAAUAAGCACCGGCUAACUUCGUGCCAGCAGCCGCGGUAAUUC